AUUGAACGCUGGCGGCAUGAUUUACACAUGCAAGUCGAACGGUAACAGGCCGCAAGGUGCUGACGAGUGGCGAACGGGUGAGUAAUGCAUCGGAACGUGCCCAGUCGUGGGGGAUAACUACUCGAAAGAGUAGCUAAUACCGCAUACGAUCUAUGGAUGAAAGCGGGGGACCGUAAGGCCUCGCGCGAUUGGAGCGGCCGAUGUCAGAUUAGGUAGUUGGUGGGGUAAAGGCUCACCAAGCCAACGAUCUGUAGCUGGUCUGAGAGGACGACCAGCCACACUGGGACUGAGACAUGGCCCAGACUCCUACGGGAGGCAGCAGUGGGGAAUUUUGGACAAUGGGCGCAAGCCUGAUCCAGCAAUGCCGCGUGCAGGAAGAAGGCCUUCGGGUUGUAAACUGCUUUUGUACGGAACGAAACGGCUCUGGUUAAUACCCGGGGCUAAUGACGGUACCGUAAGAAUAAGCACCGGCUAACUACGUG
rnacentral:rRNA from 1 species